AUUUCUUUAAAAUAUGAAUUAAUUGUAUAAAGUCUCUAUAUCUGUUCUUAACAGAUUAGUAUCAGAUAAGUCUUCUAUGGGAAGACAAUAUAUUAAAGGGAGUUUUGGAACAAGGAGACAUAAGGAGAGUUUGCUCUGUCCAUUCCAUACAUCAACCCCAGUAUUACAGGACUUCUGGAAAUAGUGCACCUCCC